GAGGGUAUAGCUCAGUGGUAGAGCGCAUGCUAGCAUGCAUAAGGUCCUGGGUUCAAUUCCCAGUACCUCUG
rnacentral:tRNA from 1 species